rfam:Bacillus galactosidilyticus strain PL133 scaffold000131, whole genome shotgun sequence.
UUCUUAUCCAGAGAGACGGAGGGAUUUGGCCCUUGGAUGUCUCAGCAACCGGCCUUCUUUAGGCAAUGGUGCUAAUUCCAAUAGGUUUUUUAAACCUUGAAGAUAAGAA